GAUGAACGCUGGCGGCGUGCCUAAUACAUGCAAGUCGAGCGAACGGACGAGAAGCUUGCUUCUCUGAUGUUAGCGGCGGACGGGUGAGUAACACGUGGAUAACCUACCUAUAAGACUGGGAUAACUUCGGGAAACCGGAGCUAAUACCGGAUAAUAUUUUGAACCGCAUGGUUCAAAAGUGAAAGACGGUCUUGCUGUCACUUAUAGAUGGAUCCGCGCUGCAUUAGCUAGUUGGUAAGGUAACGGCUUACCAAGGCAACGAUGCAUAGCCGACCUGAGAGGGUGGUCGGCCACACUGGAACUGAGACACGGUCCAGACUCCUACGGGGGGCAGCAGUAGGGAAUCUUCCGCAAUGGGCGAAAGCCUGACGGAGCAACGCCGCGUGAGUGAUGAAGGUCUUCGGAUCGUAAAACUCUGUUAUUAGGGAAGAACAUAUGUGUAAGUACCUGUGCACAUCUUGACGGUACCUAAUCAGAAAGCCACGGCUAACUACGUG
rnacentral:rRNA from 1 species